AUGGCUAGAGCAAGAGGAAGAGAGAGGUUGAGCGAAAAGUUUGAGGCGGGAGGGAGCGAGGCGGGGGAGUCCGCUCCAGCGGGCGCUCUAGUCCGUCAGACGUGGGCUGAGCUUGGGACGAGCUGCGUUCCUCCCCAGGCCGCUGCAGAACGGUGGUGGCGCCUCCCGGCAAACCGGACCGACUGGAUCGAGCCGCCGAAGGGAACAGGGGGCGACGUCGGUGCUCCCACAGCCCUGGCUCCGGGCUCCGUGUGGGGAGGGCGAGCCCCACAGCCUGCCGCGACGGCUGCCUGGGCAGUAGCGAUGAGGAGCGGAAGGCAGGAGCCGCCGCCACGGGCAGUGCCCGACAGCUCCGGGACACCUGGCGCGGAAGCCGUGGGUCGCGGUCACGGAUCCCGCGGGCGGCUCUGCCACGUGCUGGUGCUGCUAAACCCGCGCUGGGGCCAGGGCAAGGCCCUGCAGCGCUUCCGGAGUCACGUGCAGCCCGUCCUGGCUGAGGCUGAAGUCUUCGUCACGCCGGUGCUCACUGAGUGGCGGAACCACGCGUGGGAGCUGGUGCGGUCGGCGGAGCUGGGCCGCUCGGGUAGUCAGGUCUGGGGACCGGCUGAUGCGCGGGUGGUGACUCGGCUCACGGAGCGGCCUGACUGGGAGGCCGCCAUCCAGGCACCUGUGCAGCCUCCCCGCAGGCUCUGGCAACGCGCUGCCAGCGUCCUCGAACCAUUAUGCUGGCUGUGAUUAGGUUACUGAUGGAGACCUCCUGACCAACUGCGCGCUGUUGCUGUGCCACCGGCUACUGUCGCCCCUGAACCUGCUGUCACUGCACAUGGCUUCGGGGCUGCGCCUCUUCUCUGUGCUCAGUCUGGCCUAGGGCUUCACUGCUGACGUGGACCUGGAGAGUGCGAAGGAUCGGCGCCUGGGGGAGAUGCGCUUCACUCUGGGCACCUUCCUGCGCCCGGCAGCCCUGCGCACCUACCGCGGCCGACUGGCCUACCUCCCUGUAGGAAGAGCCCGCCCCAAGACACCCGUCUCUCCGGUGGUAGUCCAGUAGGGCCGGGUAGAUGCACACCUUGUGCCACUGAAGGAGCCAGUGCCCUCUCACUGGACGGUGGUGCCCGACCAGGACUUUGUGCUGGUGCUGGCACUGCUGCACUCACACCUGGGCAGAGAGAUGUUCGUGGCACCCAUGGGCUGCCAUGCAUCUGUUCUACCUGCCGAGAGGCGCAUCUCGGGCCAUGCUGCUGCCCUGGCCAUGGAGAAGGGCAGGCAAUAUGUAUAUGUGCCUGUGGUUGCCUUCCGCCUGGAGCCCAAGGAUGGGAGGGGUGUGUUUGCAGUGGACCGGGAAUUGAUGGUCAGUGAGGCUGUGCAGGGCCAGGUGCACCCAAACUACUUUUGGAUGGUCAGCGGUUGUGUGGAGCCCCCGGCCAGCCAUAAGCCCCAGCAGAUGCCACCUCCAGAAGAGCCCUUAUGACCCCGGGCCGUACUGUGCCUUAGUGUCUACUGGUAGGACUCUUCCUCCUUCCCCAGGACUGUUGGGCCUGGCCACAGCUCCUGUGGGGUGGAGGGGACUCCUCUGGAGAAGGGGAAGAAGGUGCCUGCCGUGCUUUGGGAGGACAGGCCAGAACAAGGUCCUGGGUCAGGAGCCCAGCUGGCUGGGCCCAGUUGCCUGUGCAAGGCCCUCCAGUUUGCUCUGAGACCCCCACUCCAUGAACCAAAUUCAAAUAAAGUGACAUCCCCAGC